GGCGGCGGCGGGUGCCCGGACCCGCCUUUUCCCGCGUCUCGGCGCGUGCCGGAGCUCCCGGACGCAGCCGCGGCGGCGCGUCGUGGUGUCCCUGAGGGCUCUCGGCGCGUUUUUGAGGAGCCAUUGACACAGUCUCCUGCGCGUGCACAGGGGUUGUUGGCUCAGUCGCUGUGUUGAGCCUGCGGCCUGACCGCGUGCGCCUACUGGUCCUCAUGCCAGUCUUUGGUACAUUCCCCGGAGUUUUCCACGCGUGUCAUGUGGAAACAUGCGUGUCACUUCCGCCUUCUCUACCCCAUGCCCGUUAUCUCGUUUUCCCGUGGCCGCUCUGGCUGGAGCCCCCAGGGCAUCGCUGGACAGCAGUGACCGGUGUUUCCAAGGUUAGGGCGUCCACUUACAUUCUAAAUAUAGGCACUGACGGCUGCAAAUCCCCGCGGAGCAGGCUCUAGCGGUACUCCUGCCCUCCGAAUGUCCUCCACGAGCCUCUGUUCUCAGUCAUCUCAAGGUCUGCUGAGUGGAACAGGAGCCGUAUCCCUGGGCGGAAUGUGCUGUGCCACCCCGGAGAGCGGAGCUGCAGGCGCACCCGUCGCCUCGCCGGGGCCGAGAGACGGCAGGAGAACCUGGUGCCUCCGCUGCGCUGCGCGCGGCAGUGUCGCUGAUCAGAUGGGACCCCUGGCCUCAUGGCCACACAACUCACCACCAGCACGCAUACUCAGAAACUGGCCGCAGUUUGGCUGUGGACAGAGGCAGCCGGCUCAGCCACGGCUUCCGGAACCAGCCCCCUCGCAGGCUGGUGUCCAACGACCCGCCAAGCCUGGCCCGGGCCAGAACAUGAUCUCGGACGGAACAUUUCCAGGCCUUGGUGCUGACCACAGCCGUCGACUCGGUGGGUGGAUGCCGCGGGGUGCUCAGCAAAGCCAGGGGGUGACUGACAGCCUGGCCUCCAUGCUGAGAUCGGCGUGGGGCCCGCUGUGGCCCUAAUCGAAGCACCUUCCUUUCCUUGCCCUUUUUUUCUUAUCUUAUAUAAUAAAACCCAGCUUCCGGUAUUGUGAAUUACCUGC
rnacentral:lncRNA from 1 species